AACGAACGCUGGCGGCAUGCCUAACACAUGCAAGUCGAACGAGACCUUCGGGUCUAGUGGCGCACGGGUGCGUAACGCGUGGGAACCUGCCCUUAGGUUCGGAAUAACUCCCCGAAAGGGGUGCUAAUACCGGAUAAUGUCUUCGGACCAAAGAUUUAUCGCCUUUGGAUGGGCCCGCGUUGGAUUAGCUAGUUGGUAGGGUAAAAGCCUACCAAGGCGACGAUCCAUAGCUGGUCUGAGAGGAUGAUCAGCCACACUGGGACUGAGACACGGCCCAGACUCCUACGGGAGGCAGCAGUGGGGAAUAUUGGACAAUGGGCUAAAGCCUGAUCCAGCAAUGCCGCGUGAGUGAUGAAGGCCUUAGGGUUGUAAAGCUCUUUUACCCGGGAUGAUAAUGACAGUACCGGGAGAAUAAGCUCCGGCUAACUCC
rnacentral:rRNA from 1 species